rnacentral:rRNA from 1 species
AUUAGAUACCCUUGUAGUCCGGCUUACUGACUCUUACACCAAGUAUCUCGUAUGCCGUCUUCUGCUUGAAAAAAAACAUCCAGCUCAACAGGAAGGCGUCUCAGGGAUACUGGCGGGCUUGGGAGCGGAAGAGGUGAGAGGUACUCCCAGGGUAGGAGUGAAAUCCUAUAAUCCUUGGGGGACAAUCUGUGGCGAAGGCGGCUAACCAGGACGGUUCCGACAGUGAGGAAUGUAAGCCAGGCGCGCAAAUAG